AUUAUCCUAUUAUGAGCAGUUUAAAGAAAACUACCUCAAAUCAUCACUUGUCUAAAAGGGAACAAACUGAUGCAUAGCAGUUUUUUCCCGCAAAUAAAAAGGCAUAAAAAAAUGACACAAAAUGAUGAGAUGAAAUGAUCCCCAAUUUGUGCCAAACUGUUUUCUUUCACGAGAACACAUUUUGCUACAAAUGUCAUAAAUCCAGUUACUUGGUCCUUUGUUUUGUGUAGUCCCAGCACUGCUUUGCCUUUUCAGCCUUUUGUAUUUGACAAAAUGUGAGAAAGUUCAAGCUGGAUACUGUUGCAAGGCUAUAUAGUGGCAACUUUUGUUGGGAGUUUGUUUUUCUGCUCAUUGUUUCAUUCUGCAUAGUUUCUGCAUCUUUUGCAGUGAUGGAUUGCCCCAUAGCUCUGCAACAGCCUGCAAACAUUUGAGAUAAUCAUAAGGCAAACACAGAAUCAAUGCCUCUCAGCCUGCAGAAACCCAAUCCUCCCCCUUGACUCACUAAAAGUACAGAAGCACCUGCAACAGAGAGACACGGCGUCACUUUAAGGAGUAAUCCACAGACGAAGAUGGAAUAACUGUAGGGAAAGAAGAAGAAGAAGUGUCCGUGUGGACGCUUGGAUGUGCAACUGAUAGACAAGGAAAAACGAAGAGACAGAGGAAAGAAAGAUAAGGAGAAAGAUAAAGACAAAGAGACACAACAUUGCAUUAGACACUAAGAGCCAUUCCUUGCUCGCUAAAGGCUAAUGUAAUUGCCACACAAUAAGAGCGUCUCAGCGGAGGCUGUAAAAAGAACUAGAGAGGGGAAUGUAAGAGGAGAGGCAGGGAAGGAGGGAGGAGGGAGUGUUAGGUUAGGGAGGAGGGUAAGGGAGGACCGGCAGCUCUGCCUUCAGACUCUCAUAUGAAUCUCCUGGGACAAUGGGUGAAAGUCUCUGUGAAUCUGUACUGUAACUCUGGGCUGAGUGGCUCACUUGCUGUGUCUUCAGGGUGAUUGAUCAGGCUUGCAGGGAGGAGAGACGGAGGAAAGAGAAGGGGAGACGAGUCCAGUAGCAGGCAGGCAGCUGGCUGGGUGUGUUAACUCCACAUCUGACCUCUAUGGGAGCAGAGUUGCCUCCUCUCCUCUCCAAGCAGACUGUGGGAACUGGGGGGACAGAGCUUUAUCCUCCCUCCCUCCACACCACCACCACCUCCCCACCUCUCUCUGCUUCUUGCUGGGCCAUAGAGCUCAGAGAACUGGCACUGGACAGACCGGGACAUGACAGGACAAGACAGCUCUGGCAGUCGAGCCCUCUGAGGAUUUCCACUGCAGAAGGAGUUCUGGAGCCGCCUCCGUCACUCAGACAGCCGGGCGGGUUUCUUGUCAGUUAUUAGCCAGAUUUUAGUUUGUCAGCCAGUAAUUCAGUCACUGGGGUCUCUUCCACUCUGUGAAUAUCCUCAUCUGAACUCUGAUGUGACUCAGACGCCGUCCUGGACCACCAGAGGACCGCCAGAGGGUACGGUCACAGGUGUUCCACAGCUGCUGCGGAAAAGAAGCAUCUGGAGUCCAAAAACAAUGUAAUAGUGCGGAGGGCGGUAAAGGGCAGAGAGGUGGAGACCGGGCCUCUGGUCUCGCUGUUUAGGGGAGGGUUCCUGGCACCGUGAUUUGAUGCACAAAGAGAAACAAAAAUCACAUUGCCAGGGAUUUCCACUCCUUCACAGCUCAGCAGGACGUCUGUCCCGACCUCACAUUUCCACUCAGGGACUCAUUUUGAGGCCGGAUUCUGGAGCGCUGAAGGAAUUAAACCAAAAUGCUAUCAACCCAUCUCUGCAGACCUCUAAAAGGUUAAGUUGUGUCUGUGUGUAUUUAAGGCUGCAGCUGUUUGAAAUUUAAACUAUCCUCACCACUCUCUGCUCUAAUGUGCCAGGAAAUGGAUGUAAAUGCAAGCCAGAGCCACACAGGAGAAGGUUUAUAUUUCAGAUGUUGGAUUUUAGGGUUUAUAAACAAGGAAUUUAUUUGGAGAGCUAAGAUAAAAGUGGAGAUCCCUCCACUGCACCCUCUGAACACUCUGCAGAAUCUGAAACCACUGACUUCACUGCCGACGUCUCACGUAAAGGUCUGCAUAAAUCUCAGCCAGCCGCCCACUUGCUAAAGGCACAGAGCUUAGCUAAUUGGUGAGCAUUGAUCCCUGCAAUGUGUUGUUCACAGUGGCUAAGUUCAGUGCCCGAGGUGAAAUAGUUGAUUCAACGUGGAGGAUUUGUUCCGGUGGAUGGACUGAACUUGAUGAUCUCGGAGAAGCUGAAAGAAGAAGGGAUCAAGGAAGGGAAGGAGGAGUGAGAGGUCAGGAGGAGAUGAAAUGACGGAGAAUAAGGUCACUAUUAUGGCCUGAAGUGUGAUUUUUGAACUUGUACUGGUCUUGUGCAUGAAAGAAACUUUUGCCAUUUAGAUCAGUAUAUUCUCAUAAACUGACCCAAAAAUCUGACCAUGUGACCCAUGUACAAUAAUUUAAAAUAAUACUAACUGGAGCGAGCUCAUGACGUCUUUUCUAAUUUUAUCCCUGCAUUAACAGCAUUCAAGCCUGUGCAAAAAAAAUUCCAAAAUCUUAAAUAUAUAUAAUCAUAAAGUGAAUAGAGUGUCAUUAUUGAUUGAGAGUUUAAACGUUUGUUGUGACUGGAUAAGUCACUGCUUCUUCCUGCUCCUCUUCAAACAUAUUUUGUUUUUGAUUUUACGAAUCGUUUAUUUGUUGCUAUUUUUUUGCCUGCAUUUGUUUUACUGAUGUUUUAAGGAAGGAAGGAAAAAAAAAGAAAUACCAACCCAGUUCAAGAAAGGGACAAGUUAUAAUUUUACUUAAGGCAGUUUUACUUUUAAAUUUGUAAAAAAAAUUUCACAUUUUUAUUGGCCUAUGGUAUAUUCAUGGUGCCCUUUUAUUCACUUACUAGAUUCAACACUUUCCUGUUAUGAUGGAAAUCACAACAUUCACUCUGACCACAAAAGUUUGAAUUACAGUUUCCAGCAUUUUCUAAUUUUCUCGCUCCAGCCCACUCUGCUGACUAACACAACCCAAAGCCGUACGUCGUGACCGAGUGGAUCCAAGAGUUGAGUUUGCUGAUGAUUUGAUGACUUUCAGAGUCUGUUUGAGGUAUUUUGGAGCCAACACACGAGCACUUGUGUUUUCUGACUCAUGGUAACAUCCAUCUUUAGUCUGAAAUAGAGCCUUUUUACAGUGAUGCCAUUAAUCUUUAUCUGUGAGAAUGUCACAGUAUGUGUACCUCAGUAUUAAACUAAUUUUUUACAGGGUUGGUGCAACCUAUUGCAAAGGAGUGAAACAAAAAGAUUCUUAAAUAUAACUUGAAGUUUGCCAUUGUCCUUCCUGUGCUGCUCUGUUUUUAGAAUAAAAUCUAGUAGUACAGGUAAAUAUUAGUGAUAUUAACACUCCCAGCAUGAUAAACUCAGAAUAUAUAACAUUUUGUAUCCUUCCUUUGUGACUAUAUUACUUAAAAAAAAAAUCAUUAACAUAAAUAGCUUUUUUAACCCCAUUUUGAGUUGCACAAAGUAAAGAUUUCACAUAGUCUAGUUGAAGUUAGAGAUAUUGUCAUACGCAUAAGACGUGCAAGCUUGAAAUAUUUUUCCUUGUACAUCAGUCAGUGACUUAUUUCAAUAGAUAUUUUCAAUAGACAUCUUCUCAGCCUUUAAAAACAUUGCAGUAAAACAAGAUAAGAUGCGGAAAAAAACGAUAAUAAAAGUCUUAACUUGAAGCAAGAAAUAAUCCUGUUAUGAUGCUGGGAAUUGUUUUGGAUGAUUGCUGCUGGAGACUCUGACUUCAGAUACCGUUUGUUGUUAGAGUAAUGUCUGGGAUUUAAUAUUUGUGGCAACGCCAGUGAGCUGUGAAAAUACAAUUUGUGCGGACAGUUUAUGAAAAGCGUGACUUAUCUUUGUGUGCAUGGCAUGCGAAAUGUAGAGUAAGCAUAUUUGAUUGAGCUAAGAAAUGUGGGUUUUGUCUCAGCACUUCUGGUCUUUCUGUUUCAUUGAGCAUGAUUUGCAAACUUUGUCCAGACAGCAGCCAAAACACUAAUUAUUACAUUAGAGCGUUCAAAACAAAUGCUAAGUUCAUGAAGCAUGAGAAUAUUUUUUUUCUGUAAGUUUUGUUUGCACACAAUUAACUAAACAUGUUUCUAAAUAUGCUACAGACUAAAUUAAAAGCAGAUCAAAUCA